CUGUGAUCAGAGACUGAGUUUCAGCCAGUGGUCAAGCAUCAGGCUCCAUCUAGAAGGAGAUUGCCAGGAGUCACCUGAAAUCCCUAAAUUUGUGGCUGAGCCAGGCGCCAGGCUCCCAAGAACCUCACCUGUGACCCUGGACGUCCUCACAGGUUAAAGGGUCUCAGGGACCCAGAGGCCGGCAAUGCAGCUAUAGUGGACCAGAAAAACCCUUUUCCCCAGAGGAGAGGUCAUAAGUGGCAGCUGAUCCAGGGUCUCUGGUCUGACAGCACACUGGAUUUCCCCUGUCUGUUCAGAUAUUCAAGAAAAGGAAUUGCAUGCUGCUCUCUUCAUAUAUGUCUUUAGAUACCUUUAGAUUUCCAAGAGGCAGAGAAACUGUUGUUGAUCGACAAUGUGACUUUCAUCUACAAAGAGGCCCCCGGACUCUUUUUUGGGGGGUAGGAAUUCACUGUCUUCAUAUUUUUACAUAAAAUAAAAACUCUGUUUAAAGAAA